rnacentral:rRNA from 1 species
AAACUCAAAGGAAUUGACGGGGGCCCGCACAAGCAGCGGAGCAUGUGGUUUAAUUCGAAGCAACGCGAAGAACCUUACCUAGACUUGACAUCUCCUGAAUAGCGUAGAGAUACGUGAAGCCCUUCGGGGCAGGAAGACAGGUGGUGCAUGGUUGUCGUCAGCUCGUGUCGUGAGAUGUUGGGUUAAGUCCCGCAACGAGCGCAACCCUUAUCAUUAGUUGCUACCAUUAAGUUGAGCACUCUAGUGAGACUGCCCGGGUUAACCGGGAGGAAGGCGGGGAUGACGUCAAAUCAUCAUGCCCCUUAUGUCUAGGGCUACACACGUGCUGCAAUGGUGAGAACAACGAGAUGCAAUACCGCGAGGUGGAGCCAAACUUGAAAACUCAUCCCAGUUCGGAUUGCAGGCUGAAAUUCGCCUACAUGAAGUUGGAGUUGCUAGUAAUCGCGAAUCAGGAUGUCGCGGUGAAUACGUUCCCGGGCCUUGUACACACCGCCCGUCACACCAUGAGAGCUGGUAACACCCGAAGUCCGUGAGGUACCCUUUAUGGGGCCAGCGGCCGAGGGUGGGAUUAGUGAUUGGGGUGAAGUCGUAACAAGGUAGCCGUAGGAG